rnacentral:sRNA from 1 species
AUAUCUCUCUGUACGGGAAGGAUGAGAAGCUUCGACUAAGGUUCGAUUCGAGCGAAGCGAGAAAGCGUUGCCGCAGGCAACGACCCGAAGGGAGAAGCGCGCAGCGCUGAGUCAUCCUUCCCCCACCACCA